rnacentral:rRNA from 1 species
UGAGGAACAUGACCUUCGGCGGGGGAUAGCCGGCCCAACGGCCGGGUAAUACCGCGUACGACCUUUCGGGGACAUCCCUGGAUGGUGAAAGCAGCAAUGCGCCGAUGGAGUGCCUCGCGGCCUAUCAGCUAGUUGGUGAGGUAACGGCUCACCAAGGCAACGACGGGUAGCUGGCCUGAGAGGAUGGCCAGCCACAUUGGGACUGAGACACGGCCCAGACUCCUACGGGAGCAG